CAACGCGAAGAACCUUACCUGGUCUUGACAUCCACAGAACUUUCCAGAGAUGGAUUGGUGCCUUCGGGAACUGUGAGACGGGUGCUGCAUGGCUGUCGUCAGCUCGUGUUGUGAAAUGUUGGGUUAAGUCCCGCAACGAGCGCAACCCUUAUCUUUUGUUGCCAGCGGUCCGGCCGGGAACUCAAAGGAGACUGCCAGUGAUAAACUGGAGGAAGGUGGGGAUGACGUCAAGUCAUCAUGGCCCUUACGACCAGGGCUACACACGUGCUACAAUGGCGCAUACAAAGAGAAGCGACCUCGCGAGAGCAAGCGGACCUCAUAAAGUGCGUCGUAGUCCGGAUUGGAGUCUGCAACUCGACUCCAUGAAGUCGGAAUCGCUAGUAAUCGUGGAUCAGAAUGCCACGGUGAACACGUUCCCGGGCCUUGUACACACCGCCCG
rnacentral:rRNA from 1 species